rnacentral:rRNA from 1 species
UGGCGCACGGGUGCGUAACGCGUGGGAAUCUGCCCCUGGGUUCGGAAUAACAGCUAGAAAUUGCUGCUAAUACCGGAUGAUGACGAAAGUCCAAAGAUUUAUCGCCCAGGGAUGAGCCCGCGUAGGAUUAGCUAGUUGGUGAGGUAAGAGCUCACCAAGGCGACGAUCCUUAGCUGGUCUGAGAGGAUGAUCAGCCACACUGGGACUGAGACACGGCCCAGACUCCUACGGGAGGCAGCAGAC